UACAGAGGUCUCAAGCGUUGUUCGGAAUUACUGGGCGUAAAGGGUGCGCAGGCCGCGCGGGCAGUCAAAUGUGUAAUUCAGGGGCUCAACCCCUGCACUGCGCUUGAUACUUCCGCGCUAGAACUUUGGAGAGGAGUCUGGAAUUCUCGGUGUAGCAGUGAAUGCGUGGAUAUCGAGAAGAACACUAACGGCGUAAGCAAGACUCUGGACAAAUGUUGACGCUCAAGCACGAAGGCUAGGGUAGCGAACGGG
rnacentral:rRNA from 1 species